CUGGGAUUGUCAGUGUUCUUCCCUGUGUCCAAUUUGGAGGCUGUUCAGAGAAGGGCUUGUCGUCGGGCCUAGCAGUCUUCUCCCCAGACUCCAGCUUUUCUGCACUGCCCAUUCCCUGCACAUUUUUACACUCACCUUAAGUUGUAUUCCAAUAUCCUUAGGUGUGAUUUUAUAUGUUCUUAUAUCACAGUGUGUAUGUGUGUUUCUGCUUAUGAAAGAAAGAUGCAGAUAUAGAGACUGAGGAAGGGAGAGAAGGAAUGAGAGAGAAAGAGCAUGAGAGAGAAUAAGAGAAUGAGAGAAAGAAUGCGAGAGAGAAGAGAGUGAAUGAGGGAGAAAAUGAAUGAGACCACAAAACCAUGAGGAUGUUUACCUGCCUGCUGGCUAAGGCACCUGUAUGUUCUAGGGCAGAAUGACUUUUCAUGUAUUUUGAGUGGGGGCAGGAGGCAGCGAACAGCAGCUUGAAUAAUAGCUUCUCUAUAAACAUUGUCAGUAAACUGCAGGGGAAACACUGCCCCUCUUCAAAAACAACUGUAGUGAAAACUGAGCAGGCAGGACUGCAGCUGGGAGAGGAGUGGAUUGAUGGGUGGGCUGUUGCGUUAUCGUCACCAAAUGACCGCAGCUGUUCACAGAUGAGCCAGAAGCCUGGAGUCCCAGAGUGCCAGGUGUCAUUCCGGAGACAGCCCCUGCGUGUGCUGGGUGACGUGUCACCACCAAACCAGGCCUCAGGAACACAAGUGGAAUCCACGAAAUCAAGCAUCCAACUCCAUCGUAACCACUAAGAGGAAAACGAGGAAGUGUAGACCAUGGCUCUCGGCUAAAAGGAGUCUACGACUUAGUCUGAAAAAUAAUUUUGCUGAACUGUAUUGAAUCACGAUGUAGGGACAAGAGCCACCUUAAAGCAACACAUAUCACGUGUCCCUCUGGGCCCCACCUGCAAGUCUGGAAUCACCUGGAUAGAGAGAAUAGGUAAGGAAGUGGCGGAUAGGUAGGUGGAGGGACCUGAAUAGCUGACAAGCUGGGGAAUGAGGGCAUUGCCUAAACCAGUCUGUGAGCGGAUAUUAUAGUCAGGGCACGGAGAGGGAAACUGGAGACAGUGGCGGCCCCACCAUCAGACAAACCAGCCGACUACCUAGAGCUGUGUGCCAGGGCCUUCCAAGGAGAGUGGCCACGGAUAUUCUCAGAGAGUUGACUGGAGAUUCUCAAAGAGUUUUAUCCUUUACCUGUUACCAACAUGGGGGAGUGCUGGGGAACAGGACUUUACUCCAAAAUAAAAGUCAAUAGCCAAAAUAAAAGUCCCA
rnacentral:lncRNA from 13 species